AAUGUUCCCCAACCUUGACCCUGAUCGUAACAAAUUGGAUAGUGCUUCAUUAGAAGCAAGUUCCUUUGCUUUGCCAGAGGCUAGUGAGAGACAUCAACCCAAAUUAGAUGAUUCUGUAACUAUAAAAGAGGACUUGAACCUAAUUUGCCGAUCAAGAACUGAUGAGGAUGUUAAUCCUGCUUCUGACAUAGAAAGAUCAGCUGAAGAAACUACCAAAGUUUAUUCAUUGAAUGGCCCAAGCACUCAAGAAUUGAAUGGACCAAG
rnacentral:misc_RNA from 1 species